rnacentral:tRNA from 2 species
GUCCAUGUAGUAUACCAAUUACACUGGUCUUGUAAACCAGAAACGGGGAAUCAACCCUCCCCCAUAGACU